UGGUUGGAUCCCUGCUUGGGCAGCGACGUCCGUCCGCGCGAGUCCCUUCAGUCGUCGGCCCAAGAGCGAGUUGGCCUUGGCCGCGUGCGGGUUUCCUGUGCUGCGUACCUACCGAACGGAAUUCGUGCGGCGCAUCGUCCACCGUUCGCCUUGUGCUGCGCCCCCUCGGGGGUGCGGCGCGGGGUGAACCCCGAAGCGAUUCUCGCGUUCCUCGCCGGCCACGAAGCGUGCCGUCGGCUAGGCCCGUGAGUUAUCGCUUGGGCUCUCGGAUGCGGAACACUCGGUGGGCGGGGGGCCGCCGGCCUCCCUUUGCCCGAAUGAAGCGUUUAUUCGCUCGUUACCGAACGACUGCCGUCGUUGCUUCGGGCGUCGUUCGAUCCUUCGGGUUCGACGUGCCCGUGCGGCGCCGGCGUCGGUGAGGAAUGCUACCUGGUUGAUCCUGCCAGUAGUC
rnacentral:misc_RNA from 1 species